GAAGCACUAAGGGGGAACAAAGCAUAAAAGCACACCUUGCCAGGUCUGGACCGUCCCAAGUCAUGCGCCGUUGACAGCUAUCUGGUGCAAGAGGAAAAGGGGGACUAACGUCGGAGCAGAACCCGUCACAGGUGUGCGCACUUACAGAGGGGCGGGACGAGUUUCGAGUGGGUGUGAUACUUUAAGGGAAGUUUAUGUACUCGUGAUGUAUCUGGAUGCUUCUUUUCAAAAGGAUAAUACUUGCGUACAGAUUGCAAUUCAAAGCAGAGGACACCCGGGAAGCGUCCUCCCGCCUCCGGGCCCCUCAGCGGCCCGCCGAGGGCGGAAGGCCCGUCUCCCGGAACCCAAGGCCCCCAGCGCGCGGCCCCGGCGGCCGAGUCUUCCCGCGCGCCGCCGCUCCGCGUCCCUCCCGCGCUUGCUGGGCCGUGGCAGCAGGUAGCCCUGGCCCGGGAAGACAGGCCGGCGCGGCCGAACCUCCGGCGUCACAGGAGCGCCCGAGAGGCAGUGGCACAAGGCCCUCUUGCCGUUUCUAAGGGGACGCUUCUGCAGGGACUUCCGGGACGUGGGUUGUCGGGAGCGGAAGUGCCGUGUGGCGGGCGCGGGGGGCCCCCGGAGCCUGGGCGGCCCAGUUCCAGGGCGUGGGGCGCCCGCCAGCUGCGUGGCCAUGAACCUGGAGCGGCUGCGGAAGCGCGUGCGGCAGUACCUGGACCAACAACAGUAUCAAAGUGCUUUGUUUUGGGCAGACAAAGUAGCUUCGCUCUCUCAUGAGGACCCUCAGGAUGUUUAUUGGUUGGCCCAGUGUCUUUAUCUGACAGCACAGUAUCACAGAGCAGCCCAUGCCCUUCGGUCACGAAAAUUGGACAAAUUGUAUGAAGCAUGUCGUUACCUUGCAGCCAGGUGUCAUUAUGCUGCAAAAGAAUAUCAGCAGGCUCUUGAUAUUCUUGAUAUGGAGGAACCUAUCAACAAAAGAUUAUUUGAAAAAUACUUGAAGGAUGACAGCAUCUUGAAAGACUCUUCCAGUGACUGGGAAAUGUCACCUUCCUCACAGAUAAAGAGUUCUAUUUGUCUUCUGCGAGGGAAGAUUUAUGAUGCUCUAGAUAAUCGAGCUCUAGCUACCUACAGUUACAAAGAAGCUCUAAAGCUUGAUGUCUACUGUUUUGAAGCAUUUGAUCUUUUAACAUCACACCACAUGUUGACAGCACAAGAAGAAAAAGAACUUCUUGAGUCACUACCUCUUAGCAAGCUGUGUCCUGAAGAACAGGAAUUACUGCAUUUUCUGUUUGAGAACAAAUUAAAGAAGUAUAACAAGCCUAGUGAAACUGUCAUCCCUGGGUCUGUAGAUGGCUUGCAAGAGAAUCUAGAUGUGGUGGUAUCUUUAGCUGAACGACAUUAUUAUAACUGUGACUUUAAGAUGUGCUACAGGCUUACAUCUGCAGUAAUGGAAAAAGAUCCUUUCCAUGCAAAUUGUUUACCUGUACAUAUAGGAACACUUGUGGAGCUGAAUAAAGCAAAUGAGCUUUUCUAUCUUUCUCACAAACUGGUGGAUUUAUAUCCUAGUAAUCCUGUGUCUUGGUUUGCAGUGGGAUGUUAUUAUCUCAUGGUCGGCCAUAAAAAUGAACACGCCAGAAGAUAUCUCAGCAAAGCUACAACACUGGAGAAGACCUAUGGGCCUGCAUGGAUAGCCUAUGGGCAUUCAUUUGCUGUUGAGAGUGAGCAUGACCAGGCCAUGGCUGCCUACUUUACAGCAGCACAGCUGAUGAAAGGGUGUCAUCUGCCAAUGCUGUAUAUUGGAUUAGAAUAUGGUUUGACUAAUAACUCAAAACUGGCUGAAAGAUUCUUUGGCCAAGCUCUGAGCAUUGCACCAGAAGACCCUUUUGUAAUCCAUGAGGUUGGCGUGGUUGCCUUUCAGAAUGGAGAGUGGAAAACAGCAGAAAAAUGGUUUCUUGAUGCUUUGGAAAAAAUCAAAGCAAUCGGGAAUGAGGUAACAGUUGACAAAUGGGAACCUUUGUUGAACAAUUUGGGGCAUGUCUGCAGAAAACUUAAAAAAUAUGCUGAGGCAUUGGAUUACCACCGGCAAGCAUUGGUAUUAAUUCCUCAGAAUGCGUCCACCUAUUCUGCCAUAGGGUAUAUCCAUAGCCUGAUGGGCAACUUUGAAAAUGCUGUGGACUAUUUUCACACUGCCCUUGGUCUUAGGCGUGAUGACACAUUUUCUGUUACAAUGCUUGGUCAUUGCAUUGAAAUGUACAUUGGGGAUUCUGAAGCUUAUAUUGGAGCAGACAUUAAAGACAAAUUAAAAUGUUAUGACUUUGAUGUGCAUACAAUGAAGACACUAAAAAACAUUAUUUCACCUCCGUGGGAUUUCAGGGAAUUUGAAGUAGAAAAACAGACUGCAGAAGAAACAGGACUUGCACCAUUGGAAAACUCCAGGAAAACUCCAGAUUCCAGGCCUUCCUUGGAAGAAACCUUUGAAAUUGAAAUGAAUGAAAGUGACAUGAUGUUAGAGACAUCUAUGUCAGACCACAGCACGUGACUACAGACAGUGGUCCUGGGCCAGUCUGUGCUGGUGUAGGACCAGAGGCUGCCUUGAGAGACUGGAUAGCACACCUUGCAGCAGAUGUUCUGAGUCUCUGAACUACAAAAUAGUUAUACCUAAUGGAAUAAAAAAGGUGAUACUGACCUGGAUUGCUUGGUCACAGUGACACCAUCUGUCAGCUUCUGCUGCCAAGUUGCUGUCUUUCCCUUUCUGAACUCCAUGGGGCAAGGAGGUUAAACCUCAGCUCUUGUGGGGGCAAUAGCCAUUGUGUUCCUUCUUGAAAAUCUGUUUCCUGUCUUCCACUUAGGUGUUCAGUGUUUUAUCAGUGUGGACUCAGGAGCGCUUAUGUCAUAUUUUGAGUUACAAACAUAUACAGUGUUGCUUAUUUUGUGGCUUAAAUUAUUCA